rnacentral:lncRNA from 1 species
UACUUACAGACUGCAUUUUGUAUUUAUAUAUUGACAGACUGAAGGAAAAUAUGCGAAAGUCUUCUUCAGCUGGAGACAACCACAGUGCAAUUGCCAUCCAUACCAGCAGGAAAAGGUGACCCAGAAAUAAGCUGUUGCCUCUGGAACAUGACUUAUACCUGUGAAGAUCUGAAAGACACAUGCAGGGAUUUUUCUCUGAAUUUGAAGACAUCCUGAAAAAGUAGAUCUGAGAGGUACGAACUAUCCUAUUCUGUUUUU